rnacentral:rRNA from 1 species
AUUUGAAAUCUGGCACCUUCGGUGUCCGAGUUGUAAUUUGAAGAAGGUAACUUUGGAGUUGGCUCUUGUCUAUGUUCCUUGGAACAGGACGUCACAGAGGGUGAGAAUCCCGUGCGAUGAGAUGUCCAACUCUAUGUAAAGUGCUUUCGAAGAGUCGAGUUGUUUGGGAAUGCAGCUCUAAGUGGGUGGUAAAUUCCAUCUAAAGCUAAAUAUUGGCGAGAGACCGAUAGCGAACAAGUACAGUGAUGGAAAGAUGAAAAGAACUUUGAAAAGAGAGUGAAAAAGUACGUGAAAUUGUUGAAAGGGAAGGGUUUGAGAUCAGACUUGGUAUUUUGUAUGUCUUGCUUUCGGGUGGGGCCUCUGCAGUUUACUGGGCCAGCAUCGGUUUGGACGGUAGGAUAAUGACAUUGGAAUGUGGCACUACUUCGGUGGUGUGUUAU